rnacentral:rRNA from 1 species
GAUGAACGCUGGCGGCGUGCCUAAUACAUGCAAGUCGAGCGAACAGAUGAGGAGCUUGCUCCUCUGACGUUAGCGGCGGACGGGUGAGUAACACGUGGAUAACCUACCUAUAAGACUGGGAUAACUUCGGGAAACCGGAGCUAAUACCGGAUAAUAUAUUGAACCGCAUGGUUCAAUAGUGAAAGACGGUUUUGCUGUCACUUAUAGAUGGAUCCGCGCCGCAUUAGCUAGUUGGUAAGGUAACGGCUUACCAAGGCAACGAUGCGUAGCCGACCUGAGAGGGUGAUCGCCCACACUGGAAGUGAGACACGGUCCAGACUCCUACGGGAGGCAGCAGUAGGGAAUCGUCCGCAAUGGGCGAAAGCCUGACGGAGCAACGCGGCGUGAGUGAUGAAGGUCUUCGGAUCGUAAAACUCUGUUAUUAGUGAAGAACAAAUGUGUAAGUAACUAUGCACGUCUUGACGGUACCUAAUCAGAAAGCCACGGCUAACUACGUG